rnacentral:rRNA from 1 species
AACGAACGCUGGCGGCAUGCCUAACACAUGCAAGUCGAACGAGACCUUCGGGUCUAGUGGCGCACGGGUGCGUAACGCGUGGGAACCUGCCCUUAGGUUCGGAAUAACUCCCCGAAAGGGGUGCUAAUACCGGAUAAUGUCUUCGGACCAAAGAUUUAUCGCCUUUGGAUGGGCCCGCGUUGGAUUAGCUAGUUGGUAGGGUAAAAGCCUACCAAGGCGACGAUCCAUAGCUGGUCUGAGAGGAUGAUCAGCCACACUGGGACUGAGACACGGCCCAGACUCCUACGGGAGGCAGCAGUGGGGAAUAUUGGACAAUGGGCGGAAGCCUGAUCCAGCAAGGCCGCGUGAGUGAUGAAGGCCUUAGGGUUGUAAAGCUCUUUUACCCGGGAUGAUAAUGACAGUACCGGGAGAAUAAGCGCCGGCUAACUCCGUG